AUGGGCGAAGAAGGGGCAGCUGCUCCGUUGCUGGAUGGGAAGCUCAAGGCGAGGAGAAGCGAUAAUGGCGACGGAGAGGCGGCAGCAGCAGCAGGGAGAAGGAGGUGGUGGCGGUGCCUGUGGGAUGCGGAGGAGGCGGCGGGGCAGGUGGCCUUCGCGGCGCCCAUGGUGGCCACCAGCAUGGCCUUCUACGCCAUCCCGCUCGUCUCCGUCAUGUACGCCGGCCGCAUCGGGGACCUCGAGCUCGCCGGCGCCACGCUCGGCAACUCGUGGGCCACCGUCACAGGCAUCGCGCUCAUGACUGGGUUAAGCGGGUCCCUGGAGACGCUUUGCGGCCAAGGCUAUGGCGCAAAGGUGUACCGCAUGCUCGGCGUGUACCUCCAGGCAUCCAUCAUCACCUCGGCUCUCUUUUCAGUCCUCGUCUCGCUCCUGUGGCUCUACACCGAGCCACUCCUCAUUUUCUUGCACCAAGACCCCGAGGUCUCAAGAAUGGCAGCGGUGUUCCUGCGAUACACAAUCCCGGCACAGUUUGCCUUUGGCUUCAUCCAGUGUAUCCUCAGGUUCCUGCAGACACAGUCCGUGGUGAUGCCACUGGUGGCGUUCUCGCUCCUGCCACUGGUGUUCCAUGUCGGAAUUACCCAUGCCUCCGUGCACUACCUGGGGCUCGGCUUCGCAGGCCCAGCCAUGUCAACUUCGCUGUCUCUGUGGCUAUCUUUCAUUAUGCUGGCAUCCUAUGUGAUGUUGUCAACGAGAUUCAAGGAGACCUGGGGGGGAUUUUCAACAGAAGCGUUUCAGUACGUGCUGCCCGGCCUCAAGUUAGCCGUUCCCUCUGCAAUGAUGGUGUGCUUUGAGUACUGGGCGUUUGAGAUAUUGGUGUUGCUUGCUGGGCUGAUGCCAGAUUCUCAAAUGAGCACUUCUAUCAUUGCGAUGUGUGCAAACACGGAAUCAAUUUCAUACAUGAUCACCUACGGGUUCGCUGCUGCCAUCAGCACAAGGGUAUCGAAUGAGCUGGGAGCAGGUAACAUUGACAAGGCAAAGAAGGCACUCAAGGUGACUCUCGCGCUCUCCCUACUCCUGGGAGUGACAUUUCUUCUGCUCCUAGGUCUUGGCCAUAAUUUGUGGGCCGGGCUGUUCAGCAAGAGUGAGGCAGUGAUAAGUGCAUUUGCUUCGAUGACUCCAUUUCUCAUUGGGUCAGUGGUGCUGGACUCCACGCAGGGAGUCCUGUCAGGGGUUUCAAGAGGCUGUGGUUGGCAGCACCUGGUAGCAUGGACCAACUUGGUGGCCUUCUACAUAAUAGGCUUGCCAUUGUCUCUCCUACUUGGAUUCAAGCUUGGCUUUCAUACUAAGGGGUUGUGGAUGGGUCAGAUAUGCGGUCUCCUUUGCCAGAACACCGUUCUCCUGUUCAUCACGCUCCGAACAAAGUGGGAAAGAUUGAAACUGGCGACAAACGGCAAAGAGGGCGACCUUAUCUGUUGA
rnacentral:rRNA from 1 species